rnacentral:sRNA from 1 species
CUUCAUCAAUCUGUUGCGGACAGAUAAAGUGGAUAUGUGUAUCGAUACCACCUGCGGUUAGAAUUUGGUUCUCACCUGCGAUGAUUUCAGUACCAGGGCCAAUGAUGAUAUCAACAUUAGGCUGUACGUCUGGGUUACCCGCUUUACCAAUUGCCGCGAUACGACCUUGCUUAAGACCAACGUCAGCUUUAACGAUGCCCCAGUAAUCCAUGAUGAUAACGUUAGUAAUAACCGUAUCCAUUACUGCGUCAUCACAACGCUGGCUCUGACCCAUACCGUCACG